CAUCUUCGGGGUAGGGUGUAAUUCCCAACCGGCAGUAAAUAAAGCCUGCGACCUGCUUGUGUUCAACAAGCGGCUGAUCUAGUGCGAAUCUAGAGCCGACAGUAUAGUCUGGAUGGGAGAAGAUG
rnacentral:ncRNA from 1 species